UGAGGGAKGGAGGCCUUCGGGUUGUAAACCUCUUUCGCUCAUGGUCAAGCCGCAACAUUGGUUGUGGUGAGGGUAGUGGGUAAAGAAGCGCCGGCUAACUACGUGCCAGCAGCCGCGGUAAUACGUAGGGCGCGAGCGUUGUCCGGAAUUAUUGGGCGUAAAGGGCUUGUAGGCGGUUGGUCGCGUCUGCCGUGAAAUCCUCUGGCUUAACUGGGGGCGUGCGGUGGGUACGGGCUGACUUGAGUGCGGUAGGGGAGACUGGAACUCCUGGUGUAGCGGUGGAAUGCGCAGAUAUCAGGAAGAACACCGGUGGCGAAGGCGGGUCUCUGGGCCGUUACUGACGCUGAGGAGCGAAAGCGUGGGGAGCGAACAGGAUUAGAUACCCUGGUAGUCCACGCUGUAAACGUUGGGCACUAGGUGUGGGGGCCACCCGUGGUUUCUGCGCCGUAGCUAACGCUUUAAGUGCCCCGCCUGGGGAGUACGGCCGCAAGGCUAAAACUCAAAGGAAUUGACGGGGGCCCGCACAAGCGGCGGAGCAUGCGGAUUAAUUCGAUGCAACGCGAAGAACCUUACCAAGGCUUGACAUGCACGGCGGCACUGCAGAGAUGUGGUGGCAUUUAGUUGGUCGUGUGCAGGUGGUGCAUGGUUGUCGUCAGCUCGUGUCGUGAGAUGUUGGGUUAAGUCCCGCAACGAGCGCAACCCUUGCCCUAUGUUGCCAGCACGUGAUGGUGGGGACUCGUGGGGGACUGCCGGGGUUAACUCGGAGGAAGGUGGGGAUGACGUCAAAUCAUCAUGCCCCUUAUGUCUUGGGCUUCACGCAUGCUACAAUGGCUGGUACAGAGGGUUGCGAUAUCGUGAGGUGGAGCGAAUCCCUUAAAGCCAGUCUCAGUUCGGAUUGGGGUCUGCAACUCGACCCCAUGAAGGUGGAGUCGCUAGUAAUCGCAGAUCAGCAACGCUGCGGUGAAUACGUUCUCGGGCCUUGUACACACCGCCCGUCACGUCACGAAAGUUGGUAACA
rnacentral:rRNA from 1 species